rnacentral:pre_miRNA from 1 species
UCCAGUCUUAGUCUUAGUCCAGUCUUAGUCCAGUCUUGACUGGACUAAGACUGGACUAAGACUGGACUAAGACUGGACUAAGA